GCUUACGGCCAUACCACCCUGGACACGCCCGAACUCGUCUGAUCUCGGAAGCAAAGGAGGGUCGGGCCUGGUCAGUACUUGGACAGGAGACCGCCUGGGACCACCGGGUGCUGUAAGCU
ensembl:rRNA 5S_rRNA 5S ribosomal RNA